rnacentral:rRNA from 1 species
CAGCAGCCGCGGUAAUACGUAGGUGGCAAGCGUUGUCCGGAAUUAUUGGGCGUAAAGGGCUCGCAGGCGGUUUCUUAAGUCUGAUGUGAAAGCCCCCGGCUCAACCGGGGAGGGUCAUUGGAAACUGGGAAACUUGAGUGCAGAAGAGGAGAGUGGAAUUCCACGUGUAGCGGUGAAAUGCGUAGAGAUGUGGAGGAACACCAGUGGCGAAGGCGACUCUCUGGUCUGUAACUGACGCCGAGGAGCGGAAGCGUGGGGAGCGAACAGGAUUAGAUACCCCCGUAGUCCCUGUCUCUUAUAC